rnacentral:rRNA from 1 species
GACGAACGCUUGCGGCGUGCUUAACACAUGCAAGUCUAACGAAGUGGCGAACGGGUGAGUAACUCGUAAUCAACCUGCCCUUCAGAGGGGGACAACAGUUGGAAACGACUGCUAAUACCGCAUACUGAAGGAAGGGAUGGCGUCUGAUUAGCUAGUUGGAGGGGUAACGGCCCACCAAGGCGCGGGUCAGUAGCCGGUCUGAUAGGAUGAACGGCCACAUUGUGACUGAGACACGGCCCAGACUCCUACGGUAGGCAGCAGUGGGGAAUCUUCCGAAAUGGACGAAAGUCGUACGGAGCAACGCCGCGUGAGUGAUGACGGCCUUCGGGUUGUAAAGCUCUGUUAAUCGGGACGCGGUACCGGAAUAGAAAGCCACGGCUAACUACGUGCCAGCAGCCGCGGUAAUUC